GAUGAACGCUGGCGGCGUGCCUAAUACAUGCAAGUCGAGCGAACAGACGAGGAGCUUGCUCCUCUGACGUUAGCGGCGGACGGGUGAGUAACACGUGGAUAACCUACCUAUAAGACUGGGAUAAAUUCGGGAAACCGGAGCUAAUACCGGAUAAUAUAUUGAACCGCAUGGUUCAAUAGUGAAAGACGGUUUUGCUGUCACUUAUAGAUGGAUCCGCGCCGCAUUAGCUAGUUGGUAAGGUAACGGCUUACCAAGGCAACGAUGCGUAGCCGACCUGAGAGGGUGAUCGGCCAGACUGGAUCUGAGACACGGUCCAGACACCUACGGGAGGCAGCAGUAGGGAAUUUUCCGCAAUGGGCGAAUGCCUGACGGAGCAACGCCGCGUGAGUGAUGAAGGUCUUCGGAUCGUAAAACGCUGUUAUUAGGGAAGAACAAAUGUGUAAGUAACGAUGCACAUCUUGACGGUACCUAAUCAGAAAGCCACGGCUAACUACGUG
rnacentral:rRNA from 1 species